AUUGAACGCUGGCGGCAUGCCUUACACAUGCAAGUCGAACGGUAACAGGUCUUCGGAUGCUGACGAGUGGCGAACGGGUGAGUAAUGUAUCGGAACGUGCCCAGUCGUGGGGGAUAACGCAGCGAAAGCUGUGCUAAUACCGCAUACGAUCUAUGGAUGAAAGCGGGGGACUCGCAAGGGCCUCGCGCGAUUGGAGCGGCUGAUAUCAGAUUAGGUAGUUGGUGAGGUAAAGGCUCACCAAGCCUGCGAUCUGUAGCUGGUCUGAGAGGACGACCAGCCACACUGGAACUGAGACACGGUCCAGACUCCUACGGGAGGCAGCAGUGGGGAAUUUUGGACAAUGGGCGCAAGCCUGAUCCAGCAAUGCCGCGUGCAGGAUGAAGGCCUUCGGGUUGUAAACUGCUUUUGUACGGAACGAAAAGGUUCUCUCUAAUACAGGGGGCCCAUGACGGUACCGUAAGAAUAAGCACCGGCUAACUACGUGCCAGCAGCCGCCGUAAUAC
rnacentral:rRNA from 1 species